rnacentral:lncRNA from 1 species
GGGAUUUAGGGGUGAUUAUUUCUGAUGACUUAAAGGUAGGCAGACAAUGUAAUAGAGCAGCAGGAAAUGCUAGCAGAAUGCUUGGUUGUAUAGGGAGAGGUAUUAGCAGUAGAAAGAGGGAAGUGCGCAUGCCAUUGUACAGAACACUGGUGAGACCUCACUUGGAGUAUUGUACACAGUACUGGAGACCGUAUCUUCAGAAGGAUAUUGAUACCUUAGAGAGGGUUCAGAGAAGGGCCACUAAACUGGUUAAUGGAUUGUGGGAUAAAACUUACCAGGAAAGGUUAAAGGAUCUUAACAUGUAUAGCUUGGAGG